UCGGUGGAGGUCUGGCGCGCUGCUUCAUGGAUCCGUGAGGGACCACCCAUGGAUCUAAGAAUUGGCAUCUGGCCUGGUGGCUGCUGGUGGCCUUCGGUGGAGGUUGGCUGAGUCUAUGCAUCCCGAAGUCUCCCUGUGCACGGCCCUUGCUCGCGUUGUGCUCGCCGACUUGGGGCUCUAGGCGCAACGUCGGAUUGCGUGUCUCAAAACACAGAGAUGGCUUCUUCUCAGUAGUGAGGUGGCGGCUCAUCUCUGAGAGCUAGGCUAUGCGCUGAAGGCGGUGGUUGCUGGAGGAUAGACGAGGUGGUGCUGGUGUCAGACCAGGUGCUCUGGUCAGCCGCGUAGGAGCAACGCCCGGAGGGCUAAGCUGUGCAGGGAUCUUCCCUUGCUCCGGUCUGGUCUGGCCACAGGGUGGUGACAGACGGACGGUGGUGGCUCUGGCCUCAGCAGCGACGUGGCUCAGCAGCGGGGUGGCGCGGGUGAUGCUACGGGUGAAAGCCAUGUGUUAACCUCAGUCGGCACCGGUGGCAGCGGCGCUCUUUGGCGUCGGAUCCCUCCCUGGAGGUGUCGUUGUGGGUUGCAUUGGUUUCAUGCCUACUUUGUUCAUUCUCUGGGCAAAAGCCUUAGAUGCAGCAGCGGGAUUGGACGACGGCGUCGUCCUUGAUGUCGUUUUACCGCCUUGGUGGCAUCUGUCUUAGGAGAUGCUACUUCAUUCUCCUUGCCUGAGGUUUGGGUUGGUGUUUGGCUGGUUGGAGGUGGGUGGCCGGUGGUGGUGGUGUGGCCGGUUUGGAGUCGACGGUGGUGUGUGUCGUGCUCAAGUGCUUCUGGUGCGUCUCUGCUUGGCGGUCCCUACGGCUACGUUGUGGACACACAGGUGGUGUGGCGUCGUCUCGGCCUUGCAUUAUCGUUCGAAUGCAUCCCCGACACAGGUGUUGUCGCGGCAUCGUGCAGUCUUGAUUUGUGAGGUGCCGUUGGAUUGUGUCGACGAUGCAGUGCAACAACUUGGUUUGCUAGGCGAUGCCUCCGAUUAUGCCCAUGGCACACACGUCCCAUGGCAUGAUCUGAGCCUUGCGUGGCCUUCGACUGUGCCUCGCGAUACAGGUCAUGUGUCACAGCAUUGUGUUGUCUUGGUUUGUGAGGUGCCAUUGGAUUACAUCAAUGGUGCAUCAUUGUGGUUUGGUCUUGCUGGCCAACAUUGCUUGUCUUCCUCUUUCGCCGCUCUUCAUUGUGUUUUCCUUCCUUGUUCUCCCUGUUAGGUGUGUUGUUGGCGUGUGCUUUUGUUUAUCUCUUCUUCCUUGUGUCCCCUGUUAUUCUAGUUCGCUUGAACCUAUCUUGCUAGGCUCUAAGACUUAUAGGAAAAAUUGAAUAUAAUUCAGGUGGAGGGCUUUCCCUCCCCCGGGGACCUCAAAAAGAACUAUUUCUUAGUAUAAAAUGCUAACUUUGAUACAUGUUUUACACAUUAUCACAUCAAUCGUAUGCAUUUUGUUUAUUUGGAUGAUGCAGGGAGAAGGGGAAUUGUUGGAAAAUCUGUAGAAAAUGGCUAAUAUAAGGAGCAGUCAAGAAAAUAUUUUUCAAAUCCAUAACAAAUGAAGAAAAAAUAUUUUAGAAGUUUCUCACAAGAAGAGUCAUGGGCUAGACCUAGGCCUAAAAUCCCCCUCUAGUGUCCACGUCUCUCUCUCUCUCUCUCAUAUCCUAUGCAUUCUCGCAAGGGCAGAUUUAAACAAGCGAAGAAAUCAUAACAACUUUCUUCGCGGUAUAUAUGGUGAAGAUUUAUAUGCAUGGUGAGAUGUGAUCUCUCGAGAUUUCUCAAUCCAUUCCCUGAACUUCUUGUUAUCGUUUUGAGUUAUUGGUGUUAUCGUAUUGUGUGCUAGCUGUUUUUUCAUCUUAAGCUACAAGCAGAAGUUGGAAAAUAUUCAAGGCGUUUUGGUUAUGUUUAAAACAUUCAAGACAUUUCAGUUAUCUUUGAAACAUUUGAGACAUUUUGAGUUAUUGUUGUUAUCGUACUCCUAGUUUUUGUUUCAUCUCAUGUCACAAGAAGUUAGUAGUAUGGUAGCAAAUCAAUUACCAUGGAACAUAUCUCUGUCUCCCUCCCUCCCCUCCCUCCCUCCCUCCUCUCUCUCUCUCUCUCUCACACACACACACUUACACGCGCGAAGAGAUCAUAAGCUCUUCCUAAGGAUUUUUAGCACAACAACUUCCCUACUAUCCUCCAACUUAGCAUGAUAGAAGAAUUUAAAAUUAUUUUUGUGGCAUUAUCCACCCCUUUGGUUUAAAGUAACAAAUUGCAAGUAAAUAGCAAAAGAUUCAUUUAUACCAAUUGAUUAGGCGAAGCAGAUGAAAUGUACAGUCCUCUGAGAUGUCUUUUAAAAAUUCCUACAAAGAAGAAUCAGGCAAUGACCUUACGUGACAUAGUUAUAUCUGACUUACACCUUUUCAUAUGGUUCGGUUUGAUUUGGUCAUGUUUAUUAUAUCUUUAGAAGUUGUUGAACUAAAUGUGUCCUCAAAGAAAUAACCAUGCAAAUACCAAAGAGGUCUUAAAGGAGAUGCCCUUGCAUUUACCACGGCUACCCUUCCGGUUCAAAGAAAGGUAUUUAGGUAUGAUGAAACAAUAAUAGUAUUUCCCAUCAACAUGUUGGCAGUUUUAAUGUACUUGCUGAUCAGAAUGUAUUUAUCUCCACUAAAUAAACUAGAAAUGCACUUAAUGUCCUAACUACAUCAUAUAAACCCAUAAUAGUCCAAAUAUUAACAUAAAUUACAUUUAACUUCAAACAAGGUAGUUUCCCUUCCCAUAAUCGCCGAAAUAUUAACCAAGGGACAUGCAUUAGUGUAUAUUAAAAUAGAAAAGGUUAUAAGAGAAAAUGAUGAAAUAAAUUCCAUUUAACUUCAAACCCGGUAGUUUCCCUUCAACGCAUUUAGAAGUUGACAUAUUAUUUUGCUAGUGAUAAUAUUCCUUAUACAAAUCCACAGAUACAUGUGGAAUUUUAAAAAAAUUAUACUGAUUUGUAUUUGAAUAUUUGUAUUCCAUUUGGGGCAUGAAACUAAGAUUUGGCCAUGCGAUUAGUCGCACGUAUCCCUAUCACAUUUGGAACGAGAUUGUAGCUCACUUAUUCCUAGUUGUUGUAUUAUCAUCCUAAAGAAAUGUUAGAUUUUAGAGCAAACAUCUCAUGGACUAUCUUGACAUUAUACAACCUAGUCUUGUUCAUGUCAAUUAGUGGCUACUCAUUUGAGCGCGUGCAUGGGCAUUGCAAGAAAUGAUGAUUUCAUUGUCAAGUCAGUGAGGACUGAGAAUUGAACGACAAAUAUUAAAAGCCAAGUGACAUCUUACCAAAUGUGCCCCUCAUUCAAUUCAUAGUUGAUCCAUUGUACUUUACUUUGUUAUUUGCUUCAUCAUGGAUAGUAUGACGGCAUAUUUAAGUUGUUUGCUAUGUUAAAUAGGGAGACACCUUUUACAUAUGGAGAAUGUGAGAAUAGAGAUGUGAGCCUAGUAAGAGAAGGAGUGUCGAUAUGUCCUUCUAGUGUAUAGUAAUAUAUAGAUGUGAUUAAAAUAAGUAUGGGCUAGAUUUUAAAUACAAACAAGGUCUUGCAUCAUUGAGUAAUUAAUGAGAAUUGGUCUCUCCUUAUGGCAUGGGAAUCUAGGUCCUCAUAUAGUGACAUCUUCUCAGUUGGUAAGUAUUGAAUCUCCAAUAUGAUAGGAUAUCAAUAUGGUCACCAUUAUGGAAAAUCUCCAAGAUAAUUUAGGAUAAUGGAACCUUGCACCUUCAUCCUUAUUUCCUCUAAGUGCCUACCUAGCAUGACUACUUGCGGUCGUGGGAGAUCCUAGGCUUUACUUUGUUAUGAUCCUUAUAUGUCACACAUUAUACCUCCUUAAUAGUUAUUCUCCAUUUAUUAAUACCAGAGUUUGCCAUCAAUAUUUCUUUGAAGAAGAUUGGCAUCCCCAUUUUAGUGUCCUCCUUUUCAUGUGAACAUCGGUACGAAGUUGGACAAGAUCACACGUAACCGGCUACUAAGAAAAGCUCGGAUGCUAUCCAAUGGAAAGAAGUUGAUUUUUAGGAAACACUCAUGUUCUUGAACCUAUCUCCUUGGUUAAUUAACUGUAACUGACACCUCUUGUAGGGAAUUAUAGUGCAAAGGAGGGCAUGAUGCCAAGGGAGGAUGAUUCGGAGUUACUUUAGAUACAAUCAUUGAGAAAGUUUGGCCUCCACAACUAGCAUGUCAUGAUGAUUCCAAGAGGACCAAGUGCCUUUGGAUACAAUGCUCAAACGAGAUAAGGCAAUCGAGAUUUUAGCUUGGGCUUUUUAGAGAGUUUAAGCGAUUUUGCACGCUUAUUAAGUCCUUAGGAAAAGGAGACCAAAUUCUAAUAUGGAUGAUUUUUGGCUAGAUGCCAAAGAUGUGUUGAGGCUAAUGUGUCCAUAUUGUGCUUGAUUAAGUAGUUAAUCAAAGAGUACUCGAACAAUACUACCUUCUAGAGUAACACACACAUUAGUAAUCCUUGGGGAAGUUCUCCAUCCCAACAAUUAAACAUUUCUUACUCCUUUAUAUCUAACUGUGGAACUGGCUUCCCAAAGUGGAAGUCAAAGUGGAAUAUGUGAUAAUCUUGAGUCGACGUAAAAUGGUCCGGAAAUCACAUGGGCAGUCUAUCAUGCCCUCAUUGUCGUACCACAUCCAUAGUCAAGAGCAAUCCUUAUCGGGAAAAACUGGGCACCAUCGAGGCACUAUUAUUCACCUGGUUCCCCAAAAAGGAACCUUUUUGGAUAGUUGAUUAUCUUGAUGAGAGUGCGAUCUUCCAACCAAAGAGCACUCUGCGGUUGACAGAGGGCAUCCUAAGCCUUCUAGCUAGAUGCAUGUGAUUUUUUGUUCAAUGGCUUGGGGGCAUGGAGGGAUAAUUGUCUUUCUCCAAGACAAUUUGUGAUAUACUCCUAGUAGUGCAACCUCAAGGUGCACCUUCCAUAGGAGAAAUGUAGGACUUCAAAUUUUGAAUAUCCUUUACACUUCACUACAUAUGGUUUGAUUUAGAAUCCUAGCAACACUAGUCGAGAUUUAGGGUAAAUACUUGUUCACAUACAAAAAGAAAAUAAUAACAUUUAAUUUGUCUGAGCAUGAAGAUGCUAUGGUAGAUGGUUCGAGGGUGAUAUAUUAUGCAUAUGUUUCACCUACUUGUUGCAUAUUUGAUGGUUGUCCAAAGUUCAUAUGUAGUUGAUAGGUCUCCAACGUAUGUAUUAUUUGCUUGUUCCAUGCUAUGAUAUUAUUAUUCUUGUAUGUUUUUAUUAUCAUUUUACAUAUUAUUAUAUCAUUUUUGGGGACUAACCUAUUAACUUAGUGCCAAGUGCCAGUUCAUGUUUUCUGCCCUGUUUUUGUUUCGUAGGAAAUCAAUAUUAGAUAAGAUCAAAUCGUCCCAAAACUUUUCAAGGAUUUUCUUUAUUGAAUAUAAGGAUCACCUGGAACUUGGAGGCCAAGGAAGAUCUUGCCUAAGGUCCCCCAAACAACAACAGGGUGCGCCCCACCGGGGGGGGGGGUGCUCUGAUGUUGUGUGGGGCCCUCCACGCUCCAUUUACCCUACCUCCUCGACUACAAAUUCAGCAAUAUUCCAAAACCCUCAAGGGAGUCCACGAAAUACUUUUUCCACCGCCGCAAACCUCUGUUCUCGCCAUAUAUCAUAUGGAGGCCUUCUUCGGUACUCCGCCGGAGGGGGAACUCAUCACGGAGGGCCUCUACAUCAACCUUGCCGCCUCUUCGAUGAUGUGUGAGUAGUUCACCAUAGACCUACGGGUCUGUAGGUAGUAUCUAGAUGGCUCUCUCUCCCUUUGUAUCUCAAUACAAUGGUCUCCAUGAUCUUCAUGGAGAUCCAUUCGAUGUAAUGACUUUGUGCGGUGUGUUUGUUGGGAUCUGAUGAAUUGUGAGUUUAUGAUCAUAUCUAUCAUCAUUUCAUUUGAGUUCUUUGCCGAUCUCUUUUAUGCAUGAUUUAGUAUAGCCUUGUAUUUCUUCUCCGAAGUUUUAGUUUGGUUUGGCCAACUAGAUUAGAUCUUCUUGCAAUGAGAAGGGGUGCUUGGUAAUGAGUUCAAUCUUGCGGUGUUCAGUCCUAGUGACAGAAGGGAGUUGAUACGCAUGUGUUGUUGCCAUUAAGAAUAACAAGUUGGGAUGAAUUCUUAUAUUCUUCUGUCUUUACUACAUCAUGUCAUCGUUCUUAAUGCAUUACUUCGUUCUUAUGAAUUUAAUACACUAGAAGCAUGAUGGAUAGCGGUCGAUGUGUGAAGUAAUAGUAGUAGAUGCAGGCAGGAGUCGGUCUACUUGAUUUGGAUGUGAUGCCUAUAUCAUGAUCAUUGCCUUGGAUAGUGUCAUAACUAUUUGCUUUUCUAUCAAUUGCCCAACAGUAAUUUGUUUACCCACCGUAUGCUAUUUUCUUGAGAGAGAUGCCACUAGUGAAUCCUACGGCCCCGGGCCUACUUUUAUUAUAAGAUCAAUCUCAUUUAGUUAUACAAAAAUACCAAAAAUACUUUCUGCACUUUAUUAUCUUUUAGUUAUUUAUCAAUCUAUCAUAUAUCAUUUAAUCUCGCUUCUUGACCGCCGAGAGAUUGACAACCUCUCGUCUGCGUUGGGUGCGAAGGUUUGCGUUGUGUGUGCAGGUGCCGGUGUUGCUUGGUUCUCCUACUGGAUUGAUAACCUUGGUUUCUUAAAUGAGGUAAAUACUUACUCUACUAUGCUGCAUCAUCCUCUCCUCAUCGGAGAUAAAAAUCCAACACAGUUUACAAGUAGCAGGAAGAAUAUCUGGCACCGUUGUUGGGGAGGUUCAAGCCAACAUCAUCAACUUGCCAAUCUCUGGCGUCGUUAGCAAGUACCUACACUAUCAACUCUUAUCUUUGCAUUUACUUUAUUUUUCGUUUGCCUCUUGUUUUCCUCUACCCCACUUCUAAACAAUUACAAAAAUAUUUGCCUUUUCUUUUUCCUCUUUUUCUUCGGCGUGUUCUUGUUUGCUUGUGUUCGUUUGAUCUCUUGUUGCAUAGAAAUCAUGUCUCAAGAAAACACCAAGUUGUGUGAUUUUUCAAAUACCAACAACAAUGAUUUUAUUAGCACCCUAUUUCUCCUCCCACCACUAGUGCGGAGUCUUUUGAUAUAAAUGUCAUUUUAUUGAAUCUUGUUAUGAAAGAUCUAUUUUCUCGAAGUACUAAUGAGGACGCUGCAUCACAUCUCAACACUUUUGUUGAGUUGUGUGACAUGCAAAAUAAAAAUAUGUGGACAAUGAAAUUGUCAAGUUGAAAUUAUUUCCGUUUUCUUUGCGAGAUUGUGUGAAAAUUUGGUUCUCUUCUUUGCAUCGCAAUAGCAUCGAUUCUUGGGAUAGAUGCAAAGAUGCGUUUAUUACUAAGUAUUUUCCUCCAGCAAAAAUCAUCUCUCUCCAUAACCAGAUUAUGAAUUUUAAGCAACUUGAUCAUGAACAUGUUGCGCAAUCUUGGGAGAGAAUGAAGUUGAUGCUGAGAAAUUGCCCUACUCAUGGUUUAAACUUGUGGAUGAUUAUCCAAAAAAAUGAUGCUAGCUUGAAUUUUGUUUCUCGAAAUCUUUUGGAUUCCGCUGCGGGUGGAACUUUUAUGGAGAUUACAUUGCGUGAUGCUACUUAAUUGCUUGACAAUAUCAUGGCUAACUACUCCCAAUGGCAUACGGAAAGGGCACCUACAACCAAAAAUGUGAAUGCCAUUAAGGAGAUUAGCUCGUUGAGUGAAAAAAUGAUGAUCUUGUGAAAUUGGUUUCUAGUAACAAUGCUUCUAUUGAUCCCAAUGACUUUCCUUUAUCUACUUUGGUUGAACAAAAUAGUGAUCCUAUUGAUGUGAAUUUUGUCUCUCGUAGCAACUUGAAUAAUAAUGCUUAUAGAGGAAAUUUUAAUCCUAGGCCUUACCCUGGAAAUUCCUCUAUUUUUUGCAAUCCUUAUGGUAAUUCUUCCCGUAAUAACCAAAGGAUGCCCUAUGAUUUCGAGAAUAGUAUUAAGGAAUUUAUUAAUGCUCAAAAGGCUUUCAACACUUUUAUGGAAGAAAUGUUGAAUAAGAUUGAUGAUUUGACUAAGAGUGUUGAUAGGCUUUAUCUUGAUGUUGAAAAUCUUAAGGCAAAAUCAUUGCCUCCUAGAGUUGAUAUUAAUUAAUCUAUUAAGUCUAUGUAUGUUUCUAUUGAUGAAAGUAAGAAGAAAACCACUAUGUUAAACUCUAAGUGGGAAUUGCUUGAAAAAUCUCUGUUACAAUUUUCGUAGCAAAAUAGAUGAGCAUGUUAAGAUGAUUAGUGUGUCCUCUAUUGAUUCUUUGUUUAGUAAUGUUAAUCUUGUUGAAAAGGAGAUUGAAGAAGAUCAACUUUAGAUAGAGGGCGUCCCAUGAUUUGGAGGGUGAAAAUCUUGAUGCAAAAAUUGUUAAAAGAGGGUUUGAAGAGGUUAAAACUUUAUCUAGUGAUGCACCCACUAUUUUGGAUUACAAUGACUUUAAUUGUGAUAUUUGAUCUUUGGUUGAAUGUAUUUCUAUGUUGCAAUAUAUGUUAAACUAACCAAAUGCUUAUGAACAAAAUAAGGCUUUUACUAAACAUAUUGUGGAUGCCUUAAUGAAAACUUUGGAAGAAAAACUUGAGUUGGAGAUUUCUAUUCCUACAAAAUUAUAUGAUGAGUGGGAACCUACUAUUAAAGUUAAAAUAAAAAAAAUUGAGUGCAAUGCUUUGUGUGAUUUGGUUGCAAGCGUUUCUACUAUUUCAAAGUCUCUUUGUGAUGUUCUUGGUUUUUCCAAAUUGGAUGAAUGUUCUCUUAAUUUGCAUUUGGCAGAUUCCACUAUUAAGAAGCCAUUGGGGAGGACCAAUGAUGUUCUUAUUGUUGCAAAUAGGAACUAUGUAUCCGGUAGACCAUUUUUAAGCACCAUUAGUGCGGUCAUUGAUAUGAAAGAGGGAAAUAUAAAGUUGCAGUUUCCUUAGAAAAAAGGCAUGGAACACUUCCCAAGGACCAAAAUUAAAACACCCUAUGAAAACAUCAUGAGUCCUACAUAUGGAGUAAAAUCCAAGGACGACAAUACUUGAUGUAUUGCUUUAUGCCUAGCUAAGGACGUAAAAUGAUAGCACUUGUUGGGAGGCAACCCAACGAAUAAAAUAUAUUGUUUGUUUCUUUUUGUUCUUUCUAUUUUCCUUUAUUUUCUUAUGUUUUGAGUUGGUUUUAUAUAUUUCAAUUAGUGUUUGUGAUAAGUAAGACCUUUGGGAUGAUAUGGAUGCUUCUGAAUGCAAUUCUGUGGAAAAAAAAAGAAGCAUUGACGCCUACUCCAGGAAUUUUAUAAAUUCAUCCAAGCGUCGAAUGUGUCUGAAUUUCUUACAUGUGAUUGAUAUACAAAUUUUACAAGUUGUCCUAAUUGUUCUGAUUUUUUGGAGUAUCAAUAGUAUGGCUUUUCGACAGAUUAUUACAGACUGUUCUGUUUUUGACAUAUUUUAUUUACAUUGCAUUGUUUGCUUAUUUUGAUGAAUCUAUGGAUUGUAUCGGGGGUGCAAGACAUGGGAAAUUUAGAAUAAAGUACCUAUAAUGCAAUUAUAAAAUUUGAAUGGUUUUGCAAUAGUACUUACAGUAGUAAUUUGCUUGGUUAUACUAACGGAUCUCACGAAGGUUUUAUUGGGUUUUGUGUGAUUGAAGUUUUCAAGUUUUGGGUGUGACGUAAAUGGAUGAAGGAAUGAAGAGAUGCAAAAGCCAAACAUUGGGGAUGCCCAAGGCACUUGAAGGUAGUAUCUAAGGAGACUCAAGCGUCUAAGUUUGGUGAUACCCCGGAAGGCUCCCCUCUUUCUUCUAACGACUAUCGGUAACACACUUGAAGCUAUAUUUUUAUUCGUCACAUGAUAUGUGUUUUUAUUGGAGCGUCUUGUAUGAUAUGAGUCUUUGCUUAUUAGUUUUUCACACUCAUCACCUCUGAACACAUUUUCUUGAGAUGGCAUCACGUCAUCACAAUUUGUUAGAAUUGCUUUUUGUGCUUCACUUAAAUUUGUUUAACUAGGCGGUUGCUCUACUUCUUUACUUAUAUCUUUUUUAGCACGGUGGUGCAAAUGUUUUGAAGAAACUUGUUCUCAUGCUUCACUUAUAUAUUUUUGAGAAUGCUAUAUGUUUUGAAGAAACUUGUUCUCUUGCUUCACUUAUAUCUUUUUGAGAAUGUUAGAAAAUUUUGAAGAAAUUCACUCUCUUGGUUCACUUAUAUCUUUUUGAGAGUGUGAAAAUAGUCUUGGUAAUUGGUAGAAUAUAUGAUGCUUUGUCCCUUUGUGAUGGAUAUUCAAUUAUAAUAAUGAAAACUAGCAUACAAAAAAAAUUAUGGGACAUGAAAAACUUGAUUCUUUGUAAUAGUUUUGAGAUAUGUAGAUGAUGAUAUGUGAGUUAUGUUAGUGAGUCAAUUAUGCUCUAGUAUGAAUAUUGAUGUUAAGGUUUAUGAUUCCCUAUCCAAGCACGAAAAGUCAAUAGUUAUGCAAUAAAGUUAUAUCCUACUUGGGUGUAUUGUUCGAUGUUGGUUAUGUUUUAUGUAUGCAUGUGCAUCAUUAUGAUUUUCUAGUUGGGAGCUUCUCAAUCUUUUUGCUAGCCUUCAUUUGUACUAAGCAGGAAUACUGCUUGUGCAUCCAUUAUCCUUAAACCUUGUUUUGCCACUUGUGUCCACCAUACCUACCUAUAUGCAGUAUUUCAAUGUCGUUCCAAGUAAAAACUCUUGGUGGUAUAACAAAUUGACUUUGUCAAGUAAUAUUAGUGGAUUGAUGAAGUUACAAUUACGACUUGGAGGAACAAGUAGAAAUUGUCGACGGACAUGAGAUUGGAAUUAAAUAGGUGAUCCUAAAAGAUUGUUGGUGUUAAGAAAGACUACAUGGUUCGGAGUAAAUUAGAUUUAGUCCGAUGAUCUUAAUGUUGAUACCAUGUUUCUGGUGGAUGGUAAGAUAGGGAAAAUUGGAGUUGUCGGAAUUGAUUUAAAGGAUCGAUAGAAGCUGGACCUUGGAGUUUACUUGGCCAUGAUAUUGGAAGUUGGUGGAUAUGUUGUGAUAAUAGUCCUUGCAAUUAUAUGUGAAUUAUAGGGACUCUACGUGAUUAUGUAGAACCCCACUGAUAUUGGAUUAAUGGGUCAUACAGUGAUUGAUGACAUUUAUAGACCACUUGAUUAGAUUCAUAGGAAGGAAGGAAGAUCUUGGAUUGGUAUACUACGUGUUUCCUUGGCAUAGAAAUGCAGUACCUUAGACCUUGGAUAGGUUAGUAUAUCAAUUGGAUUUGUAGUGUCUUAUUCAAGCUUAACAACUUGUAUGCUUCACCCAAGGAGUUCUUACAUAGGGAUACAUGUGAGUAGGCUAUAGUAUACGUAAGAGGUUUUGGUUUAGUGCUUCUCUCAAAACCUUGGAUUUGAAUAGCAUGAGUGAUGUUGGAGUUGACUUAAAUAAGAUGGUACUUUCAAUGAUAUAGGAUGAUUUUGUUUGGAGAAAUAGGAAGGACUAUUGGCAUCUAAGAACUGCGCUCAAGGAUAAGAUGAUGGAUGUUCACUCACAUCCUAAACUUCUUGAAUCCUUAAAGCUUUAACAAGCCAUAAUAUGGUCACAUUCUGACCAUAGGUCUUGGCUCUAAGUCAUUAAAAUAUGGCCAAUACUCCACCUCGACCAACACCAAUCCAAUCCAUGAGGAAGGUGGACACGAAGAACUAGAUUAUGUUGGACCAUCAAUCCCCUAAACAAGUGACCAUCCAGAACAGAUGCCCGCUCCUCUCACAUAUCCCAUGAGAAAUGUGUUUUAUGUGAUACUUGGAGGAAUAUGUUGUUGUCCUCAUGGACGACAUACUUAUUUACCCAAAAAGAGUAAGGAACACCUUAGUCCUAUUUGGAUAAGCCCUAGAAGCGUCGAUUGUCAUCCUUCUCAAGUAUACGGUUUUAUCUUGAAUAAGUUGGACUCCACGAAGCACUCUCCCUCCAGCAGAAGAAGCUCUUAUCCAAGCAAUACGAAGAACCACUAUGGUUGGGAAACCACGACAAUGAAUAAGAAUCAAUAGAAGUCAACCACCACUCCUCUACCAGCUACAUUAGCCAGACUAUGCCAAGAAGCAUCGACGUUCAAUCAUGAUGAAUCCUUUGGACAACAAUAUAAAUUAAAGAGCCCCUUUUGGAUCCAAUCAAAGACUUGAGUCCUGACUCAAUCAUGGUGAAAACCCUAUAAAAAGUUUUUCAACCCACUUGCCAAACCUCAGACCUUAGGGAUUGGAUGGCUGGUCUAUACUUUUGGAUAGUCAGCUCAUCUAGGACCCCCUCAAAAACUUUCGUAGAUGGUAGAACCCGUUUUACACAUCGAGACUCUAAGCUUAGUCUUAAGGAUGAAACUCAAGCCAGACUUUUUCACAGGUAGCUACGAAGAGGCAAGAAGACCAAGCAUCAGAAGACACACCGGAAACAUGCGUCCAAGUCAAUGAACACAAAUGGCCGAAGAUGAAUGAAGAACAUAAAUGGGCAACUUACUCAAGCAGAAAAUCUCGACGAGAAGCGUACGUUGACACACCUCAACACUGUUGGAAUUAUGCCCUAGAAGCAAUCAUAAAUAAGUUAUUAUUAUAAUUCCUGUAUCAAGAUCAUCGUUUAUUAUCCAUGCUAUAAUUGUAUUGAAUGAAGACUUAGAUACAUGUGUGGAUACAUAGACAAAACAUUGUCCCUAGCAAGUCUCUAGUUGGCUAGCCAGUUGAUCAAGGAUAGUCAGGGUCUUUUGACUAUGUACAAGGUGUUGUUGCUCGAUAACUGGAUCACAUCAUUGGGAGAAUCAUGUGAUGGACUAGACCCAAACUAGUAGACGUAGCAUGUUGAUCGUGUCAUUUUGUUGCUACAGUUUUCUGCGUGUCAAGUAUUUAUUCCUAUGACCAUGAGAUAAUAUAACUCACUAACACCGGAGGAAUACUUUGUGUGUAUCAAACGUCGCAACAUAACUGUGUGGCUAUAAAGAUGCUCUAAACGUAUCUCUGAAGGUGUCCGUUGAGUUAGUAUGGAUCAAGACUGGGAUUUGUCACUCCGUAUGACGGAGAGGUAUCUCCGUGCCCACUCGGUAAUACAACAUCACACACAAGCCUUGCAAGCAAUGUGACUUAGUGUAAGUUGCGGGAUCUUGUAUUGCGGAAUGAGUAAAGAGACUUGCCGGUAAACGAGAUUGAAAUAGGUAUGCGGAUACUGACGAUCGAAUCUCGGGCAAGUAACAUACCGAAGGACAAAGGGAAUGACAUACGGGAUUAUAUGAAUCCUUGGCACUGAGGUUCAAAUGAUAAGAUCUUCGUAGAAUAUGUAGGAUCCAAUAUGGGCAUCCAGGUCCCGCUAUUGGAUAUUGAUCGAGGAGUCCCUUCGGUCAUGUCUGCAUAGUUCUCGAACCCGCAGGGUCUGCACACUUAAGGUUCGACGUUGUUUUACGCGUAUUUGAGUUAUAUGGUUGGUUACCGAAUGUUGUUCGGAGUCCCGGAUGAGAUCACGGACGUCACGAGGCUUUCCGGAAUGGUCCGGAGAUGAAGAUUGAUAUAUAGGAUGACCUCAUUUGAUUACCGGAAGGUUUUCGGAAUUACCGGGAAUGUACCGGGAAUGGCGAAUGGGUUUCGGAUGUUCACCGGGGGGGGCAGCCCACCCCGGGGAAGCCCAUAGGCCUUAGGGGUGCCGCACCAUCCCUUAGUGGGCUGGUGGGCAAGCCCAAAGAAGCCCCUACAUAGGGAGAUAAGAAAAUCAAAGAGAAAGAAAAAAAGGGGAAGUGGGAAGGAAGGGAAGGACUCCACCUUCCAAUCCUAGUUGGACUAGGAUUGGAGGAGGACUCCUCCUCCCCCCCCCCCCUUCGGACCCUUGGGGCUCCUUGAGCCCGAAGGCAAGGCCCCUCCCCUCCCACCUAUAUAUACGGAGGUUUUAGGGCUGAUUUGAGACAACUUUUCCACGGCAGCCCGACCACAUACCUCCACGGUUUUUCCUCUAGAUCGCGUUUCUGCGGAGCUCGGGCGGAGCCCUGCUGAGAUUAGAUCACCACCAUCCUCCGGAGCACCGUCACGCUGACGGAGAACUCAUCUACCUCUCUGUCUCUCUUGCUGGAUCAAGAAGGCCGAGAUCAUCGUCGAGCUGUACGUGUGUUGAACGCGGAGGUGUCGUCCGUUCGGCACUAGAUCGGAGCGGAUCGUGGGACGGAUCGCGGGACGGUUCGUGGGACGGUUCGCGGGGCGGAUCGAGGGACAUGAGGACGUUCCACUACAUCAACCGCGUUUAUUAACGCUUCUGCUAUGCGAUCUACAAGGGUACGUAGAUCUGAAAUCCCCCUCGUAGAUGGACAUCACCAUGAUAGGUCUUCGUGCGCGUAGGAAAAUUUGUGUUUCCCAUGCGAUGUUCCCCAACAGUGGCAUCAUGAGCUAGGUUCAUGCAUAGAUGUCUUCUCGAGUAGAACACAAAAGUUUUUGUGGGCGGUGAUGUGCGAUUUGCUGCCCUCCUUAGUCUUUUCUUGAUUCCGCGGCAUUGUUGGAUCGAAGCGGCUCGGACCGACAUUACUCGUACGCUUACGAGAGACUGGUUUCAUCGCUACAAGUAACUCCGUUGCUCAAAGAUGACUGGCGAGUGUCAGUUUCUCCAACUUUAGUUGAAUCGGAUUUGACCGAGGAGGUCCUUGGAUGAGGGUAAAUAGCAAUUCAUAUAUCUCCGUUGUGGUGUUUGCGUAAGUAAGAUGCGAUCCUACUAGAUACCCAUGGUCACCACUUAAAACAUGAAACAACAAUUAGAGGACGUCUAACUUGUUUUUGCAGGGUAUGCUUGUGAUGUGAUAUGGCCAACGAUGUGAUGUGAUAUAUUGGAUGUAUGAGAUGAUCAUGUUGUAAUAGUUAAUAUCGACUUGCACGUCGAUGGUACAGCAACCGACAGGAGCCAUAGGGUUGUCUUUAAACUAACGUUUGUGCUUGCAGAUGCGUUUACUAUAUUGCUAGGGUGUAGCUUUAGUAGUAAUAGCAUGAGUAGCACAACAACCCCGAUGGCGACACGUUGAUGGAGAUCAUGGUGUCGCGCCGGUGACAGAAGAUCGUGUCAGUGCUUUGGUGAUGGAGAUCAAGAAGCAUGUGAUGAUGGCCAUAUCAUGUCACUUAUGAAUUACAUGUGAUGUUAAUCCUUUUAUGCACCUUAUUUUUCUUCGAACGACGGUAGCAUUAUGCGGUAAUAUCUCACUAAAAUUUCAAGACGAAAUUGUGUUCUUCCCGACUGUGCACCGUUGCUACAGUUCGUCAUUUCGAGACACCACAUGAUGAUCGGGUGUGAUAGACUCAACGUUCACAUACAACAGGUGCAAAACAGUUGCACACGCGAAACACUCGGAUUAAGCUUGACGAGCCUAGCAUGUGCAGACAUGGCCUCGGAACACAUGAAACCGAAAGGUCGAUCAUGAAUCAUAUAGUUGAUAUGAUUAGCAUAGGGAUGCUUACCACUGAAACUAUCCUCAACUCACGUGAUGAUCGGACUUGAGCUAGUGGAAUUGAAUCAUGAACCACUCAAAUGACUAGAGAGAUGUAGUUUUUGAGUGGGAGUUUAGCAAGUAAUUUGAUUAAGUUAAACUCUAAUUAUCUAGAACAUAGUCUAAGUCCACUUUGAAUAUAUUUGUGUUGUAGAUCAUGGCUCACGCGACAGUCACCCUGAAUUUUAAAACGUUCCUAGAGAAAGCUAAGUUGAAAGAUGAUGGAAGCAACUUUGUAGACUGGGCUCGUAAUCUUAAGUUGCUCCUGCAAGCUGGGAAGAAGGAUUAUGUCCUUAAUGCUGCGCUAGGAGAUGAACCACCCGCUACGGUUGACCAAGAUGUUAAGAACGCUUGGUUAACACGUAAGGAGGACUACUCAAUAGUUCAAUGUGCAGUCUUGUAUGGCUUAGAACCGGGACUUCAACGUCGCUUUGAGCGUCAUGGAGCAUAUGAGAUGUUCCAGGAGUUGAAGUUUAUCUUUCAGAAGAACGCCCGGAUCGAGAGGUAUGAGACCUCCGAUAAAUUCUAUGCUUGCAAGAUGGAGGAGAAUUCGUCUGUCAAUGAACAUGUGCUCAAAAUGUCUGGGUACUCAAACCGUCUAGCUGAGCUGGGGAUUGAACUCCCGCAAGAGGCUAUCACUGACAGAAUUCUUCAAUCACUGCCGCCAAGCUAUAAGGGCUUUGUGUUGAACUACAACAUGCAAGGGAUGAACAAGUCUCCCGGCGAGUUGUUCGCGAUGCUGAAAGUCGCAGAGUCAGAACUCCGUAAAGAGCAUCAAGUGUUGAUGGUGAAUAAGACCACUAGUUUCAAGAGAAAUGGCAAAGGAAAGAAGGGUAAUUCAAAGAAGAGUGGCAAGCCUGUUGCCAAUCCGACGAAGAAACCCAAAGCUGGACCUAAGCCUGAAACGGAGUGCUAUUAUUGCAAGGGUAUGGGUCACUGGAAGCGCAACUGCCCCAAGUAUCUGGCUGAUAAGAAGGCGGCCAAAGAAAAAUCAGGUAUAUUUCAUAUACAGGUUAUUGAUGUGUACUUAACCAGCUCUCGUAGUAGUGCCUGGGUAUUCGAUAUCGGUUCUGUUGCUCACAUUUGCAACUCGAAACAGGAACUGCGAAAUAAGCGAAGGCUGGGAAAAGAUGAAGUGACGAUGCGCGUGGGAAAUGGUUCCAAGGUUGAUGCAAUCGCCGUCGGCACAGUUUCACUUCAGUUACCAUCAGGAUUAGUUAUGAACUUGAAUAAUUGUUAUUUAGUGCAUGCGUUAAGCAUGAACAUUAUAUUUGGAUCUUGUUUAUUGUAAGACGGUUACUCGUUUAAGUCAGAGAAUAAUGGUUGUUCUAUUUCUAUGAGUAAUAUCUUUUAUGGUCAUGCACCCAAUGUGAGAGGAUUGUUCAUAUUGAAUCUUGAUAGUGAUCAUACACAUAUACAUAACAUUGAUACCAAAAGAGUUAGUUAACAAUGAUAGCGCCAUGUUUUUGUGGCACUGCCGCUUAGGUCAUAUUGGUGUAAAGCGCAUGAAGAAACUCCAUACCGAUGUACUUUUGGAGUCACUUGACUUUGAUUCACUUGACACGUGCAAACCAUGCCUCAUGGGAAAGAUGACUAAAACUCCGUUCUCCGGAACAAUGGAGCGUGCAAGUGACUAAUUGGAAAUCAUACAUACCGAUGUAUGUGGUCCGAUGAGCGUGGAGGCACACGGCGGAUAUCGUUAUUUUCUCACCUUCACUGACGAUUUGAGUAGAUAUGGUUAUGUCUACUUGAUGAAGCACAAGUCUGAAACAUUUGAAAAGUUCAAGCAAUUUCAGAGUGAAGUUGAAAAUCAUCGUAACAAGAAGAUCAAGUUCCCGCGGUCUGAUUGUGGGGGUGAAUAUCUGAGUUCCGAGUUUGGUGCUCACUUAAAACAAUGUGGAAUUGUUUCACAGUUGACACCGCCUAGAACACCACAGCGUAAUGGUGUGUCCGAACGUCGUAAUCGUACUUUAUUAGAGAUGGUGCGAUCUAUGAUGUCUCUUACCGAUGUGUCGUUAUCAUUUUGGGGUUAUGCAUUAGAAACAGAUGCAUUCACUAUAAAUAGGGCACCAUCAAAAUUCGUUGAGACGACACCAUACGAACUGUGGUAUGGCAAAAGACCAAAGUUGUCGUUUCUUAAAGUUUGGGGAUGUGAUGCUUAUGUCAAAAAGCUUCAGCCUGAAAAGCCUGAAAAGUUAUCGUUUUCCUCUAGAUCGCGUUUCUCUGGAGCCCUGCUGAGAUUAGAUCACCACCAACCUCCGGAGCGCCGUCACGCUGCCGGAGAACUCAUCUACCUCUCCGUCUCUCUUGCUGGAUCAAGAAGGACGAGAUCAUCGUCGAGCUGUACGUGUGAUGAACGUGGAGGUGCCGUCCGUUCGGCACUAGAUCGGAGCGGGUCGUGGGACGGAUCGCGGGACGGUUCCUGGGACGAUUCACGGGGCGGAUGAGGGAUGUGAGUACGUUCCACUACAUCAACCGCGUUUAUUAGCGCUUCUGUUGUGCGAUCUACAAGGGUACGUAGAUCUGAAAUCCCCCUCGUAGAUGGACAUCACCCUGAUAGGUCUUCGUGCGCGUAGGAAAAUUUUUGUUUCCCAUGCGACGUUCCCCAACAAACACUCUCAAGGAUAAAAAUCCCCUGCGACUGAAGAUCACCUACUUAAGGGAGUCAAGGACUUCCGCGUCGACAAGAAGCUACACAAAAACCAUGACACUUCUAUUCUAACAUGAGACAUCUAGAUGUCACUAACCAACAUAAGUAACCCCCGGACCAACAUGCAAACACACCAUUGUGCAACAUAUUCCGACUUUGGGAUACACACGCUAACUAGACCCUUGCAUUACCUCGUUCACCACGCCCUCGACCCUUAGUCAAGCCUAGCAUAUUGCAGGAACCCCAAUCACUAUCAAACAAAGCCAAGCGAUGCACUCAGAGCUGUAUCAUCAAGAACUUCAAGAACCAAUCGAGAAAUCACGUCAAAGAAGAAGCAACACAGGAACGUGAAGUCUACCUCAAGCCCGAAUUUUUAUAUCUCUACAACACCUAGCCUAGGAAUCUCGGGGACGAGAUUCUUGUAAGGUGGUAGGUCUGUCACACCCUAUGUUUUUCCUCUCCUAACUAAGUCAACAUAGCUAAAAAAUUAGGACCAAUUAAAACUUUUGUGUGCUUAUGAUGCUUGACUUGAUUGUCAUUGCUUCUGUGCUUGUUUGUGUUUUAAAAUCACAAAAAUCCCCCUUCUCUCAAGACUCAUCUCGUUGCUCCAAAUCUUUCCUCAAUGACCAUACCAUGUGUAUAGGACCUAAAACUAUUUUUAUAAAUAUUAUUUUGACCAAAAAAUAUUUAUGCUCUAUUUGGAUGUAGAUAUUGGGUGCUAGAAGUCAGCUUUGGCAUUGCCCUGGCCUGACUACGGCUGUUUGGAUAGCCUGGGCAUUCGGGUAAGGUAUUCGCGCAUGAUAUCGUAGCAUGCUCCCCAACACUGGAACGGCCCAUUCCGAAUACCUUUCCUCAGCCCUCCGUAUUCAAAGAUUUCCUCACCCCUUCGCUCUCCCUCACAAGAAAAAGGGAUCUCGAGGAAGCGGGAGACUAAGAGGCGCACGAGGCGGCGAUCCCCCGGCAGCGGCGCCCCCUCCGGCAAUCCUUCAGCCAUCCUCCGGCAUCGACUUGACCAGAACCCUCCACCUCGCCCCCGUAAAUCAUUCAGUCCAUUCCUUCCGCAGUCGCCCCUCUCUCCAGAUGGCUUACUACUGUUGCGGUCAGCCAUGGCCAUGGCACGGUGUGGAGGCCAUCGCUGCUGGUCAUCUUAGCGUCGCCGCCGCUCCAAUGCCCAAUGCCCAAUUCAACACUUUAUGCAUCCAAACAAGAUUUGGCAUUGAUCCUUCCCUCGAAUUCCAAGUACCCAAUAGAUAAACAUCCAAACAACAAGUCUCGCAUUGAAGCUCAAUACCAAUAUCUUGGAAUAUUGGACACUGGAGCCAAUGCAAUACCUUGAUCUUGAAUGUCUACAUCCAAACAUAGCGUUAUUUAAUUUAAGCUUUCAAAAAACCCUUAAAAUGAGAUUUGUACUACAAGUCCUCAAAUUAAGGAAUAUGUUUGGCCCCAAAUAUUUUAUUUUGACCCUAUUAUCAAAAAUACUUCCCAAAACCACAAAAACAUUAUUUUAGAAGUUAUUUUCCUAUUUUAUUUAAAUAACUUUUCUAAGGACAAAAAUGGUCUUUUCUAGGGGGAAAUUAUUUUGUGCUUCAAAAAUAUUUGAGAAAAAUUAGGGAUCCUCGAUGGGCAUAUAUUUUACAUAUAUAAGAGUUUCAACACAUUGUCAUGUUCAAAAUAUUCGACAAAAUCCUUCAAAACCUUUUCUGCUUACUUCAAGUAUUUGAAAUAUUUCUAUAAGAAAUAUUCUCAAAUAAUUCGAGGAAAAUUAUAGCAAGUCACAUAUGCCACAUGUGAUCAUCUUGCCAAGUUUAAUCCAAAUCCUAGUUGUUUUGAUGCACCAAAAUAUUCCAGGACCAUCUCUAUCCAGAUCCAAACUUGUGUAAAUUUACAUUGACAAGUACCUCCAUUUGUGCUCAAAUUAUGUGGACAUGUUCUAAUCCUCUAAUCAUACAUCCACACCAAGCGGUGCAACAAGGAGAACAUAUCCACGUGUUUAAAUCCCCCCAACCCCAUUUCUGUUGAUUUCUAGAAUUCGGAAAUUUUUCAUUGUCAAGUUUCUACAAUUAGUACCAAACUUUUUGGGCUUCCUCUAAUACCCAAAUGAUGUCAUCACACCUAGUGGUGCAUUAAGGAGAAUAUAAUUGCAUGACUAGAUCUUAGCAUAACCUUUUCUGCCCAUUUCUAUGGUUUAUAAAGUUUGCAUUGGAAACUUUCAUCAUAUAAUCCCAAAAUUGGUGACAAACCUCAUUUCCAUCUACCAUUUGAUACUCUUAAAUCUCAAGGCAUGUUGAACCUUUUUUCUUGCCCAAAACAGCAACAAACACCUUCUGGUGAUUUGGUAACAACCCUGUUUGAGCCCUUUUACUAUUCUCCUUGGUCUCAAAAUUUUACCAGAGAUCAUCCCAGCUACAUUGCAUCUCUAGUGACCUUUGCAUGGCCAUAGCACAAUCAUUCAUGGGAUAAAAACCCCUUUACCCCCUCUAGAUAGAACCUUUCUCACCCCCUCAGCUUUCCAUCUCAGCAAAGGUAGCCAGCAGAGCAUCCUAUGUGUUUCCCACUUUGUUUAAACCUCUCUUAAGAUUCUGGGCAAAGUUGGCCGCGCCAAAAACGCCAAUGGCAUGCCAUGGCAUUCCAUAUGAGCACUCUAGAGCGUGCUACAAGUGCGCACUGUAACCGGUGCCCAAUCGCCUCCUGAUAACCCAAAAGUAUAGGGGAUCACAAUAGUUUUCGAGGGUAGAGUAUUCAACCCAAAUUUAUUGAUUCGACUCAAGGGGAGCCAAAGAAUAAUCUCGAGUAUUAGCACGUGAGUUGUCAAUUCAACCACACCUAAAAGACUUAAUAUGUGCAGCAAAGUAUUUAGUAGCAAAGUAAUCUGAAAGUAACUGUAACGGUGGCAAAUGUGAGAGUAGCAGUUUUGUAGUGAUUGUAACAAUAGCAAGUAAAAGUACCUCACCAAAGAUCAAUAUGUAGAAAGCUCGUACGCAAUGGAUUAGUGAUAGAUAAUUAUGUCGGAUGGCAUUCAUCAUGCAACAGUCAUAACAUAGGGUGAUACAGAACUAGCUCCAAUUCAUCAAUGAAUGUAGGAAUAUAUUACAUAUAUAGUCAUACGUGCUUAUGGAAAAUAACUUGCGUGACAUCUUUUGUCCUACCCUCCCGUGGCAGUGGGGUCCUAAUGGAAACUAAGGGAUAUUAAGGCCUCCUUUUAAUAGAGAACCGGACCAAAGCAUUAGCACUUCGUGAACACAUGACCUCCUCAAACUACGGUAAUCACCGGAAAGAAUCUCAGUUAUUGUCACCCUGGGGGAUGCGGAUCAUAACUCGUAAUAGGUGUCUACAACUUGCAAGAUAGGAUCAAGAACACAUAUAUAUUCAUGAAAACAUAAUAGGUUCAGAUCUGAAAUCAUAGCACUCAGGCCCUAGUGACAAGCAUUAAGCAUAGCAAAGUCAUGGCAACAUCAACCUCAGAAUAUAGUGGAUACUAGGGAUCAAACCCUAACAAAACUAACUCGAUUGCAUGGUAAAUCUCAUCCAACCCAUCAUCGUCCAGCAAGCCUACGAUGGAAUUACUCACGAACGGAGGAGAGCAUUAUGAAAUUGGUGAUGAAGGAUGGUUGAUGAUGACGACGACGCCGAUUUCCCCUCUCCGGAGCCCAAAUCAGACUCCAGAUCUGCCCUCCCGACGAAGAACGGGAGGUGGCAGCGGCUCCGUAUCGUAAAACGUGAUGAACUCUCUUCCUUUAUUUUUUCAUCCUCAAAAUAGGAAUAUAUAGAAGUGGAAACAAGGUCGAAGGAGCCACAGGGGCCCCACAAGACAGGGGUGCGCCCUACAUGUAGCCAGGUGGUGGCCCCUCUCUAGUUGAUUCCUUCGCCAAUAUUUUUUAUUAAUUCCAAAAAUAUUCCCCAUAAAUUUUCAGGUCAAUUCAAAAACUUUUAUUUCUGCACAAAAAUAACACCAAGGCAAAUCUGUUGAAAACAGCGUCAGCCCGGGUUAGUUCCAUUCAAAUCAUGCAAAUUAUAGUCCAAAACAAAGGGCAAAAGAGUUUGGAAAAGCAGAUACGUUCGAGCCGUAUCAACUCCCCGACCGCCUCGGGCCUCUACAUCAUGUCCCCUGAGACACCCUCGACGUCCGGGACACGCAUCCCUGUCGGCCCCCUCCUCUCUCUCCUCCUUCCUUCCUCAUCCCGCGUGUGCCGAGCGCCGCCCAGUUCGGCUAACCUCGAGCUUCACACGCGAGAUGCCUAUGACCUUGCCCUACUCUCUCUCUCUAUCUCUCUCUCCUCUCCCUCUCCCUCUCUCAGCAAUUGCCACGGACGUCCGUUAGCUCCUCUUACAGUGCACCAUCGGUCGUCUAUAAAAGCCACUGCCACGGCCCUCUCUCCCUUCUGACCACCUUCUCAGUCCCCAAUUGAGCUCCUACUCCUCCCACACCAGCCGCACGAGCCCCUGCACUCGGAUCAGACCCGAGCUCUGUCGUCGCGGACGACCAUCGAUCUCGUGGUACAUGCUCUCUCUGAUCCUCCUUUUCUUCCAAUGGAUCCUCCUAGCCACCCUCGUGUGCUUCCCCUUGUCUUCCUCAUUGAUUGGAGUCGGGGACGACCGAGGUGACCCUCUCCCAAACCCCCUCCGCGGUGCUCGCUCGUCGCCAGCAAACCAGGGUUCUUUGAUGCUCCUCUCCGCCACCAAUCGACGUGCGGCGACGCCAUGAGCACGAUGGUGCCACACCCGCAUCGAGCCACCGCCGGGAACAUCGACAGUGAGGUCCUCCCUGAUCUGGCUAGAGAAGAGUGAUGACAUGCAUCCCCCAUGUGUUAUCCCCUUCAUUCCCUCUCUCUUGCUGAUGGGCAAGGUUCACCUAUCAGGUUUGAAGCGCGGUGUGGUGUGCACCGCUUUGGGUGGUGACAUAUUCUAGGAAUACGCUAUCGAUGUGGCCCUCCUGCUGCCAAGCGAUGUGCCCUGGGCCGGCUCUGCUCGCUCUUUUCAGUCGAGAGUGCACGGUGGCACUUUUCUUUUUUCCAUUUUUUAGAAACUUGCAAAAAUUCCAGAGAGAUUAAUACUUGUCCAAAUUCAUUAAUUCAAACUCCUAAAUUCUUCUAAAAUUCCAUGUUAUUAAAUGGUGAAACUUUAUAUUUUCCACCGCACUUUUUUGUACUUCUCAAAUUUAAAUUCCAAUUUGAGAUACUAGGAGGCACUUUUUAAAAUUCCUAGAACCCACAAAUCAACUCCAAAUGGAGUGAUUAAAAUUCCUAGAUGUUCCAAAAAUGUUUCUUUAUUUAUAUAGCCUUAUUUAACAUUUUUCCUAUGCUAUAUUUUGGUUUGACCAAAUAAAAAGCCCCAUUUUCCCAUUUAAGUCUUCUCAAAAAAUCAUAGGAAAAUCAGCCCAACUCCAAAUCCACUUAAACUACUUUCUAAAUUCAUCUAAAAUCAGGCCCUAAUUAAUAGGCGCAUCCACUCAUUUUUGUUAAAAUAUUUUCUGUAGUUCUUAUAAAAUCAUUAAUCCCUCCAUUUCCACCUUUUAAAAAUUAUUGUUGAUCCAACUCAAGUAGUACCACUUCAGGUAUUUUUCUUGUGACCACAGGUGACCAAGAAAAAUAUAACUCCUAUUUUAGAAGACUUUUAUUUGUCUGCUUGUUGUGUUGCUUAUUGUGGGCGUUUCACACGAUAGUUGACGAAGUAGACGAAGUGCUCGGAGUUGGACUUGAAGCUCGUGAAGACCUCGAAGACUUUGCCGAACUAGUCAAGUGGACCAUUGACCAUGUCGAAGAUACCAUUUUAUGCAUGCCAUGUAGCACUUUUAUUCGGUUACAUUGAAUCAUGAUGAUUCAGUGACCAUCGUGGUGAGUUACCUCGGUUACUUUUUGCUUGUUGAUACUUGCACUAGGUAUGACCCUACCUUCCUAUGAGGGUUGUGCGGGUGAAAAGUAGUUAGGAUGCUAAGUAGUUGCUAUGCAAGAGGGAUGGGAAUAUACAUGUUGUCGGAAAAAAAUGAUUUCAAAGACUUUUCGAAAACCCCAUCGACUGCCACUAAUGCCCGAGGGAGGUGGUGUUGAUCUCGGUAACCACUUGAGAAAGAAGUGGUGUACCAAGGCAAGUGAGUGUGUUGUUUUUGAAAAUUGAUUGGUUUAAGUUGCUACCGUUACUCCAACCUUGCAUGUGCGACUACGAUACCCCUUUAUGGGAUGGGUCUUUGUUGGUUACUUUGGUUGAUGCUUGCAGAGAGCCCACAUUACUAGUGGCGAGAGAGGCAGAGUUACUCUCUCGAUACGAGGUCGUGCUUGGUAGGGCGAGCAUGGGCUGUUUUCACACACACCGGGCACACUGUUAUGUGCCCUCAUGGAUGGUACGGUCUUGAGUGAGGCUCGUAUGAUGUACAUCAUGAAGGAUGGCACCAACGAGUGCACUCUUUGUUUAGUGUCGCCAAGGGAAAGGCAUUGUUCGGGUGCUUGAUAGUAUCCAAUGUAUCGAUAAUUUAUGAAGCAUUCAUGACAUAUUUGCCUAUGUUUCUAAUACUUUUAUAUGGUUUUGAUGCACUUUAUAUGAUUUAUUUAGAACUAACCCGGAUUGACAUUGUUUUCAGCGGAAUUAUAAUGGUGUAGUUUUUGUGUAGAAAAUGAAAGUUCUCGGAAUCGCCCAAAACAUUUUUAUAACUUUUUCUGGAGGAAAUCAGCAAUAUUGGAGCGAAGAACCACUAGAGGGGAGCCACCUGUGGGCCACGAUCCAACAGGGCGCCCCCUAUGUCGUGUCGUGAUGGCUUGUGAGGCCCAUAUGGCUCCGUUUAGCGUGAUUCCAACGCUAAAAAAUCCUAUAUAUGCCAGAAACCCCAGAAAUAAAGAGACAACUUCCGCUCCACCGCCACAACUCUCUAUACCGCUGAAAAACCCAUCUGGAGCCUUUCCGGUACCCUGCCGGGGAAGGGAAAUCAUCUCCAGUGGCCAUCUUCAUCAUCCCGGCGGAGGCCAUGACAAGGAGGGAGUAGUUCACCCUCGAGGUUGAGGGUAUGUACCAGUAGCUAUUUAUUCGAGCUCUCUCUCUCUCUCUCUCUCUCUCGUGUUCUUGAGUUGGCACGAUCUUGAUGUAUCACGGGCCUUGUUAAUAUAGUUGGAUCAUAUGUUGUUAUUCCCUCGCUACCAUGUUGUGAUGAAUCGAAUAUUUCCCUUCAAGAUCUUGUUAUGUUGGAUUGAAUAUUUUGGUUUGAGAACACUUGAUGUAUGUCUUGCAUGCGGAUACCCGUAGUGACAUUGGGGUAUUCAAGUGGUUCACUUGAUAUAUGUUAUGGCAUCAACUUGCGGAUUCGGUGACUUUGGGGAUCUAUGCAUAGGAUUUGAUUACACGUUUUCAUACUAUGUUCUCCGAUAGAACUCUUGGGGUGCUCCUUGAAGUUCUUUGUGUUGGAUUGAAUAUGAUAGAUCAGAAAUUAUUUGAUGCAUGUUGCAUAAUUUACCCACGGAUACUUGAGGUGACAUUGGAGUAUCUAGGUGGCAUUAGGGUUGAUUGAUAUGUAUCAUGGUUGUUAUUCUAGUACGAACUCUACGGUUGUUUGUAACACUUAGAAUAGCUCAACGGAUUGAUCGGAAAGAAUAACUUUUAGGUGGUUCUACUACCUACGCCAAUUUCAUCUUAUUAUUCUCCACUAGAUAGGAACUUUGGAGUGGUUCUUUGUUGCACUUUGAGGGAUGAUCAUAUGAUUCUAUUAUGUUAACAUUGUUGAGAGAUUGCACUAGUGAAAGUAUGAAUCCUAGGCCUUAUUACCAAGCAUUUAUACAACAUUUUGAUCGUUGUUUUACACUUGCUACCUUGAUGUUUUUAUAUUUUCAGAUUAGAAAACCUAUACCUACUAUCCAUACUACACUUGUAUCACCAUCUCUUCACUGAAGUAGUGCUCCUAUACAAUUUUCCAUUGUAUUGGGUGUGUUGAGGACACAAGAGAUUUCGUGUAUUAGAUUGCGGGGUUGUUUGAGAGAGACCAUCUUCAUCCUACACCUCCCACGGAUUGAUAAGCCUUAGGUCAUCCAUGUGGGAAAAUUGCUACUGUGCUACAAAACUUUGCACUUGGAGGCCCAACAUAGUCUACAAGAAUAAAGUUGUGUAGUAGACAUCAAGCUCUUUUAUGGCAUAGUUGCCGAGGAGGUGAGUGCUUUCAGGUAUAUAUUUAGAUCUUGCAAUUAAAUCUUUUAGUAUCUUGUUUUUCACUAGUUUUGUUUAUAAAAAAGAAAACUACAGAAAAUGGGAUUUAGGUUGCCUCAUUUGUUUCGACUCUAUAAUGUCUAUUAUGAAAAUGAUGGUUCGGAAAAUUGUGCUCAAUUGCUAUAGGAAUAAUUUAUGUAAAUGCUUAAUGUGAAAUCCUUGAAUGAUGAGAAUGAUAGCAAUAUUGUUGGUAUAAAUUCUCUGAAUAUCCAUCAUGCUAAUGAUAUGCAAAGCCACAAGCUAGGGGAUGCUAUAUUUGAUGAAGAUGCUAUUUUUAGUCCCCCAGGUUUUGGUGAGCAAAUUUAUUAUGAUGAACUCAUGCCUCCUAUCUAUAUAAGGAAGUGAGCCUACCUCACUUGUCUAGUGGAGUGGAUGUACAACCCAGCCACCUGGGUUCAAGUCCCUACGGGCGCGAAUUUAGGUUCUUAUUAUUUCCCAAAAAACCUCGAUGUGGGGUGUUUCCCUUACAGUUUUCCUUCAAAAAACAUCUAUGCUAUAAAUAAUAAGGAUAACCAUGAAACUUGUUAUCAUGAUUUUAAUUUUCACAAGGAUUAUAUCAAUCACGUAUCUCAUGAUAGUUAUUUUGUUGAGUUUACUCCCACUACUAUGAAUGAGAAGAAUUUUGCACGUGUGGGUAGUAAUAAAAAUUAUAUGCUUGUACAUCAUGAAAAUAAUGCUUUAUGUGAUCAUUAUAUUAUUGAAUUCCUUCAUGAUGCUACUAAAAAUUAUUAUGAGGGAGGAACAUAUGCUUGUAGGAAUUGCAAUAAUAUCUAGUUUCCUCCCUGUGUGUUCAGAGUUUUGAAGUCAUGCUUGUUUUGCCUUCCUAUGCAAGAUGAUUAUUGUUACAAUUAAUUGUUUGAUUAAAAAACCCUAUGCAUAGGAAGUGGUUUAGACUUAAAUGUUCUUGUCAUGUGAUUCAUGAUGCUCUCUUCCAUGCCUCAGUUACUACUUUUUAUACGAGCAUCAUUAAAAUCAGCAUGCCUAGCUAAAAGGUAUUAAAGCAAAACGCUUUUUGGGAGACAACUCAACACUUUUCUUUAUUUAUUUUGUGUGUUCACAUGAUUAAUCUACUGUGCAAUCAUGUUUUAUAGCUUUUGUUUCAAUAAAGUUCCAAGUAAAACCUUUGGAAUAGUGUGCAUACUUGUUUGUUUGAUUUUGUGUAAAAACAGAAACUUUUACGUGAGGUAUAUGAAUUAUGUGAUUUUACUAGGCCAUCAAAAAAUUCUGAAUUUUGUACAAAACAAUUACAUGCAAAUUAUCUGCGGUUUCCUAAUUUUUUAGAAUUGUUAGAGUCGGGAAAGUAUGGUGUCCAUUCAGAUCUUCACAAACUGUUCUGUUUUUUACAUAUUCUGUUUUGCAUGCAUAGUUUGCUUAUUUUAAUGUUUACAUAGCUUAUAUUUGGUGAUAUAAAAUAUGGGAAUGAUAGAAUAAAGUAGGUAUCAUGUGAUAACAAUUAUGAAUCUUUUCAUGACAGUACCUAAGUGAAUGAUCUAUCUUUAUUACACUAACUCAUCUCACAAAGUUUCGUUAAGUUUUGUGUGAUUGAAGUCUUCAAAUUUUAGGUAAGAUACUGAUAUUAGGUAAAUAAGGAGAAUAAAGAACCUAAGAUUGGACACCCGCAAGGUAAUAUCCAAGGAGUACUCAAGCGUCUAAGCUUGGGGAUGCCCCGGAAGGCAUCCCCUCUUUCGUCUCCAACAUUAUCGGUAUAUCUUAAUUGGAGCUAUAUUUUUAAUGUUCACAUGAUAUAUGUUUCAUUUAUAGCAUCAUUUUAUUUUUAUUCUCUGUUAGAUGUUAUUUAUAAUCUUUUUUUUCAAUAAAAAUUUUCCAAGAAUUGCCUAUAGAAUGCUUGAAUUACAUGUGUGAUGUGUGCUGUACAAAAACAGAAACUUUUGCAGUAGUAUUCGAAUUAUCAGAUUUUACUGGAACGUGGAAAGUUUCUGAAAUAUAUACACAGUACUUUAAUACAAAUUCUUUAUCACGUCCUAAAUUUUCAGAAUUGUUUGAGUUACAUAAGUACACUAUUUAAAUAGAUUUCUACAAACUGUUUUAUUUGGACAGUUUGUUGUCAUAGUUCUGUUAUAUACUUAUCCUAGAGUUUUCAUGGCUUAUAUUAGUGGAUAUAAAUUGUGUAAUUUAUAUUAUACGGUACCUAAUGUUCUAAAAUUAUUAUGCAACUUGUCUUGGCAGUACAUGAAGUGUUGAUUUAUUCUUAUGUGUACUAACAUAUCUCAUGAGUUCUUUUCAAGUUUUGUGUGGAUGAAGUUUUUAAGACUUAGGUGAAACCGGAAUAUGAGAGGAUUGAACGAGAUACAAAAUCUCAAGCUUGGGGAUUCCCAAGGAACCCCAAGUAAAUAUUUCAAGAAGUCUUAAGCAUCUAAGCUUGGGGAUGCUACGCAUCCCACUUCUCUUCGUCAACAAAUAUCGGUUUGCCUAUGUUGAGCCUAAAUUUUUAUUUGUUCACAUGAUAUGUGCUAUUCUUGGAGUGUAUUUUUGUUUUCUUUGUUGUUUGAAAUAAAAUAUAAGAGCUGAAAAUCUUCAUUGAGAGAGAUUCCUCGCAUAUCUACUUAAUUGUUUGACUACUCAUUGAUCUUCACUUAUAUAUUUUGAGAGUAGUUUGAUUGUUUGCUCUUGUGCUUCACUUAUAUCCUAAGAAUAAAUUUUGAAUGAAUGAAAUAUCAUAAAUAUGAUGUGCUUUAUAUCUUGUAGUAGUUACCCAUUUGGUUUAGAAAAGUAAAAUCUAUUGAAGUUUGACAAUCAUUGUAUUGGCCAUAUGAGCAAUUCAUGAAUGAUUAGUAUAAGAAAGAGAACUUUCACAUUCAAAUAUAUUAUCUUGGACAUAUUUUAUUAUUGUGAAUAGCCAUUAAUUAUUUUCAGCCUCGAUCAAAUAGUUUAAGUUGGACAACGAAGACAACGUAAUGGUUAUGUUUCGGUAUAUUUGCAUAGAAGUUAUAUUGUUAUGGAUCCUUCAACAUGUGGUCCAUGAGAGUCCAAGUUUCUUUGAGGUGACAUUGGAGUAUCUAGGUGACAUUAGGGUUGAUUGAUAUAUAUCAUUGGUGUUAUUCUAGUACGAACUCUCGGGUUGUUUGUGACACUAGUAGGAAUAGCUCAACAGAUUGAUUAGAAAGAAUAACUUUGAGGUGGUUCUACUACCUACACUGAUUUCAUCUUAUUGUUCUCCGCUAGAUAGGAACUUUGGAGCGAUUCUUUGUUGCACGUUGAGGGGUGAUCACAUGAUUCUAUUAUGUUAACAUUGUUGAGAGAUUGCACUAGUGAAAGUAUGAACCCUGGGCCUUAUUACCAAGCAUUUAUAUAACGUUUUGCUUGUUGUUUUACACUUGCUACCUUGUUGUUUUAUAUUUUUCACAUUACAACAACCUAUAUCUACUAUCCAUAUUACACUUGUAUCACCAUCUCUUCGCCGAACUAGUGCACCUAUACAAUUUUCCAUUGUACUCGGUGUGUUGGGGACACAAGAGAUUUCUUGUAUUUGAUUGCAAGGUUGUUUGAGAGAGACCAGCUUCAUCCUACACCUCCCACGGAUUGAUAAAUCUUAGGUCAUCCACUUGAGGGAAAAUUGGUAUUGUCCUACAAAACUCUGCGCUUGGAGGCCCAACAUAGUCUACAAGAAUAAAGUUGCAUAGUAGACAUCAGUGCUUACCUCGGGUAUGCAAUAUACUGCGAGUUAGGGUUGACACGGGUGUUCCUUGAGGCUUGUGGGCAAAGUGUGCAACCUGUGCGGAGUGUAAAACUAUUCAAAUAGUUGUGUCCACGGGCAAGGACAGUUGGAUGACUACUCUUGGGCUACGCCCAAUGUUUACAAACUUGGUGUGUGUGUGUGUGUAGGUGAGAAAGGUGAUAUUUGAGCUAAGUCAUAUGACCUGACAUGAUAAUUGAACAUGAUAUGUUCAACCCCUUCCUAUAUUGAUAGCAGUAACUUGUUCAUAUGGAUAUCUACAACCUCAUGAUGCAUGCUUUUACAAGAUGAUUGAUCAAGUCUUUGCAGUCAAAACUAGCUUUCUGUAACUUAUAUGCUUAGUGUUAUAUCACGCAUUGUUAUUGCCUUGUUUCAAACAUGGGUUGCUUGCAAGUACAUUCAAAAUACUCAUUGGCUUGCCACUGGCAAUUUAAUUGGCCACGCAUUAAAGAGCAGGAAUAUGGUGAAGAGUUCAUUGGUGCCGAACGUGCGAACUAGGACGCUUCCCUGUUAGAAUGCAUGUGGGGUUAAGGCAGAUGGCAUGGGUUCACGCUAUCGAUGAAGAUUUUUGCUGUGAGUUUAUGAAGACUUGGUCAUGAAGGCCAUAUCUGAGUAAAACGAUGCAUAAUGGAUGUAAGGCUCUUGUUAUUCAGUUUUUGUGUGUUUAAUGAGCAUUGAUCUCUGAGAUCACUAUGCACGUACAUUCGGUGAUCAUGACUUAUGAGUCGGGGUCCCCACGGGUGGCAUGAGCUCAGCUCUAAUAUUCGUGAACUUGGCAUCGCCCUCUAGCUACGUCGAUUGUUUUCCUUCCUUUGUUGAUUGGCCUUCAGCAGCUCCGCUGUGUAGUUUUGCUUCUCCUCGUGUGUAGUUCUCAUUUAGUUUGAUGCUUCCCUUCGUUGAGCUCAAUGUUGUUUGGUGCCGGUGUCCUGGUGUGGUCUUCCGAUUGGCAAUGGCGCCGAUCUCAGCCCUCAGGUGGCAUCUCCACCUUCUGACGGAUCGACACCCUUCGUGUCGGGCGAGGGGAUAGGGAGCCCCCUAUGAAGGUGGAGGAGGUUGGCAUCGUCGUCCAACGCUCUUGGAGCUGACAUGGUGCUCUUCCAUCUAUCGGUUGGUUCUUCCCUAAGCAUUUGCUGGUGUCCUGCGUGGGGCUCUACUCGAUAUGGAGGACUUCUUCAACAUCUACAUGUAGUUGUGCUUUAGCUUCCAUAUCUUUACUAGUAGUUCGUGGUAGCCUGUUAGCUAUUUACACAACACCUUGUAUCGUCUCGCUGUUUUCUUUUCUAUUUUUCUUUGUUGUUCGAUGUAAUCCUGGUCUCUUGGUGGCUUUGUUAAUUCAAAGACGGCCUCUUCUGGAGCCUUCGUUGUAAAAAAAUUAAACGGGGAGGAUCCUAUUAUGUGUGUAACAUAUAGGCUAUAUCUUGGUUACUACAAGAUAUACCCUCGUCUCGCCUCUAUCGCUUCACUAACGGAUCGACCUAAUAUUGUAGCUUUCUAGAAGCAAAUAUUUGAAGCUUCUACGGACUGGUUUGGACUAAUUUUAGAAAUUUUCAUUAGGUUUUUUUCCAUCUUUGUUGUCAGUUGGACAUUUCUUAGAUACAUGUUGAACAUUUUUCAAAUACACGUUAAACAUUCUCUUGAUUACAUGUUGAACAUGUUUCUGAAGCGCAUGAAAAAAAAAUGAUGAUCAACUUUUUGAAUAACAUGAACGUUUUCUACAAAUUUCGCUAGCAAUUUUUGACAUUACAUGAACAUUUUUCAAUGUGGUGAUUUUUCUAAAAAUAAUAACUAAAUUAAUAUUUAACAAUAUAUAUUUGUAAUAUUUUGAAAUAUAAACAAAAAUAUAAAAUAAUGAAAACAAACGAUCGAAGCAAUCCAGCGUACAUUGCGCCUAGCAGUUCUACUCUCUGGCAACUGGUGCAGCAUGGUGUUUCUUAUUUCCCUUUUUUUUAGAAGGUCCGUUUCCAAUUUCCCGUGUAACACCUGUAGUACGGGGCUAACCGACUCGAUUAUUGUCCCACUCAAUUAUUCCUGCAUAUAUAGGGUCUCGCCUGGAAAAAAAAUUCUGUUCUUCAUUUUAGGCCGUUUUCUUACAAAUAUUUUGGAACAAAAAUUACUGAACAUUUUAGUUAAUUCAAUCCUAUCGAGAACAUGUAAAAUUCAAAUUUUGAGAACAUUUCUAUUUUAAAAAAAUAUUUUCUAAUUCGAAGAAUUUUUACAAAUUUCAGAAUAUUUCUUGAAUUUCAGAACAUUUAAUUAAAAAAUCAAAUUCUAGAACAGUUUGUUGAAUUUGAGAAUUUUUACAAAUUUGAACAUAUUUUCAAUUUGAAGCUUUAGAAAACAUGUUUUUUCAAUUUCAUGAUUUUCAGAAUUGUACUCCCUCCGUCCCAUAAUAUUUUAUUUUCUGAACUUUUUAAAAAUCUGAGGACAAUUUUAAACUUAUGAACGUUUUUUGAACUUUGGAAACAAUUUUUGUGUUUCUUAUCACAGCCGUUCCUUGUGGCAGAAAUUCUUACUGCUUCUCCAGGAGAGUAUCUUGCUCUCCAAGAACAGGCUUUUUGAUAGCCCCUAAAAACCGGGCCUGAAAACCAAGCGCUUGUAUAAUUUUUGAGUUUGGCUUGCCCGUUGAUCAGCCCGUAGGGAAUAUUACAGUUCCAAAGGCGCAAUGGUUGCUGGGCCCCGCAACCUUCAUAGCAUGGAUCUCUGACCUAAUCAAGAAGAUGGAGGCACAACACAUAGUAUGGAUCUUAUUUUUGCUAUAGCACCUAUCACAGAUGGCAAGAGACACACCAGGUGGCUUUGUCCCAUACACAAGUUUGUAGGAGUUCUCUUUAAAAAAAAUGAACAGCACCCUUUCAUUUUUAUUUUUUGCGAGAUCCUUUCAUCCAUUCUUAACUUGUUCAUUACAUAUAAUGGAUAUUUGCAUGUAAUGGACGAUCCAGGCUCAUCGGCACCCGCGUUGAAUAAUUUUUUUAAAACAAAUACUAAAAAAUCAAACAAAUUAAAAAAAUGCAUGGUAGAUAUUUGGGUGCCUGAGGUGCGCUCCAAAUUUCAAACCAUUUUGACUUCAGAGUAGCUCUAGCAAAAAAUACAAAUUUGGAGUUUGUAAAAAAAGUUUACUGUUCAUGUUGUCUUUUUUUGCUGAGAGCUACUUAUAUGCCCAAAUCAUCUGAAUUUUGGAGUGUACCUCACGCACCAAAUUAGCUAUCAUGCAAAAAAAAAUUGGAUUCUUUUGAAUUUGUUUGUGAUUUUUAUUAACUAUGUGCAGAUGAUCCUGGGCUCAGAAAUGAAUAUCGCAUAUAAUGGUCCUAAUCUCGUCGGGAAACACAUUAAACCAGCUAGACUCAACAUUAUGUCCUACAAAUUUUGCAAGGACAUGGGCCGCCUCAACACAAAAAUGUUUUACAUGACCGAAAUCACAUGAUCUUAAUAUCCUGGACAAUGGCACCAAAGGGGGUCUGUUUAGGCCAGUAUACUGUAGCUUGUUGAUUGGCGUCAGACAAUCAGAAGCUACCUGAAACUUCUGAAAUCCAGCAUUUUUGCCAAGAAACAGCAAGAACUUCAGCCACUUCAGGACUUUUGGUAUGAUCAAAUGUUCUCGGUAUGUUGCCACAAGCGCUCCUAGAUGAUUUCGAACCACAAUUCCAUAGCCACCUCAUCCCGAGUGGGAGAAAAUUGCAGCGUGGACAUUUAUCAGCAACCGACCUUCCGGUGGGGGAGACCAUUUCUGAGUUGAUGUCGGGAUCUCAGUUUGGCAGGCUGAUAUUACAUAAAUUCAUGAAUUCAGUAUAAGCCUUGAUUUUCCCCCACGACACGAAGAGGAUUAAGCAGUGCCUCGCCAUUACGAUAGUUGUUCCUGUUCUCUAAAAUAUGGCACAUAGCCACCGCCAGAAUCGUGAAAGUUUUGAGUUCUCUGUGUGUCUGUUGGGGGGGUUACAAAAGAAUUACAGAAGUUCGUAGGAGUUAGAGAAGAUGGAGGCAUGAAGCAACCAAGUGGGCCUUUGGUAAAGCUUGAGGCAAAGCCAAGGGGAAGAGGGGGGACCACAACAAAGGUUUAACGCGGCAACAUUGUUACUAGAAACCAAUGGGGAAUGCGACCGGGGUUCACUAGAAUUGGAGAAGAUGAUGGCAAGCGAUAGUGCAAAGAGGCGAUGACGAAGUGGUGCCAUAUAAACUACUGUUUCCUCACAAAGAAAAGAGGUAUUGUUUGCAUAUAAAUUACAGCUCCAUACAAAGUAGUCAAGGCUUGAAGCAAUACAAACAGUAGUAUACUGUUAUAUAUGUAAUGAACAAGUUAAGAAUGGAUGAAAGGAUCUCGCAAAAAAAUAUUAGAAUUGCUCUGUUAUAUAUUAAGUGUCGCUUAUUUAGUACUCUCUCCGUUUCAUAAUACUAGAUGAUGCCACGCACGUUGCUGCAGGAAACAUUAUAAACCGAUGUAUAAAUAGAUGUUGUAAAACAAAAACUAUUGCUAAAAAAUAUUAGAAUUGCUCUGUUUUUUAUUUUAAGAACAAUAACUCAUAUGAAGCAUUUGACAGAAGAUGCGUAAAAAAGUGAAACAUGAUCUACAUGUAUUUGCUCUAAAGUAUAUAUCGUUUAUGCCCAUAACAAAAAUUAGUGAAAUAGUGUGUAGAUUAGUGCAUACAAUAUAACUUAUGAUCACAUGCAUGACUUGAUGAUGUGGCAUGGUUACAUUAGAAAAAAUAAGUAUUUAUGACAAAUGCAUGACUUGAUGAUGUGGCAUGGUUGCAUGAGAAGGAAAAAUAGGUAGUGGGUUUUAACUAUUUAAGAAUAGAAGAUGGUGUGGCAUGAUUGCAUGAGAAGGAAAAAUAGAUAGUGGGUUUUAACUAUUUAAGAAAUAGAAGAUAAGAGCGAGCGUUUUUUACGCCACUAGUGUACAAACUCCCUUAUUUUAUGAGAGUGGUGUAAAAAAGGCCUUAUGUUACUCCCAGCAGCCCUAAAUAUAAGUUUUUUUUGACAUUUUACUGUGAACUACAUACGAAUGUAUGUCAUAUUUUAGAGUAUAAAUUCACAUAUUUUGCUCCGUCUCUAGUGGAAAUAUCAGAGUACUAAACAGUAAACACUUAAAAUAUGAAAAAAAAAUAGAAAAGGAGGAUGACCCCCGGCCUCUGCAUCUGGGAGAUGCAUAAGGCCACUUUAUUAAUUAUUCUCGAGGACUUUACAAAGUAUUAUAACAAUAUGCAUGAAUCCAUCAUCUUGGCAAAAAGUGCCGCUACUCCUAUCCAUAUGAUCUAGGGGUGCUAGUUGUGCCCUUAUCCAGACCACUCACGUGAGCCUAACAUCAAAAGCCGGAAGCCUCAGCCGAGCCAAAUACUUAAAAUAUGGAAUGAAGGGACUGUAUGACAAGGCAAUGCAAUGCAGCAGUGGUGGCAAAAUACAGAUAAUCUGUCCAUCCAAAGUACUUCCUCCGUUCCAAAGUGUUGAGAAGAUUCAUUAUGAAGUUCGUAAGUUUUUUCGUAGGCCAAAUUUAAAGUAAUAGCUUCACAAGUGUCUGGAAAAAUCGGCAAAUGUCUAGGAGUACAAUAUAAAAUAUAUACUGCAACAUGAAAUACAUUUCAUAAUUAAAUAAUGCUUGUAAAGGGCAUGUUUACUGAAAUGUUGAUUCCCUGCUGUGAUAACCACACAUUUUCAACAUUGACAAGAUACUGAGAGCACAAGCAUCUGUAGGCUAUAUGAAAUCAGAUAACUUUAGUGUAUGUAUCCAUAACAGCUCCACACGAACGAUUCCAGCGGCAAUAAAAUUCAAAGCAAAGUAAAUGACCAGCGGGCAACAUAAGCAUCAUACACGAGAACUAUGCAUCAAUACUGCAAUCUGCUUAUCAUGUUUCUUGAUGAAUUCCAUAAUAACAAUGCCAGCUCCAAACUGCGUGGGAAUGAGCUGAGUUUUACAUAUACAUAUGCAAAAGCAAAUUUGGUGGUUCUGUAAACGACCGAACCCGAUUUUAGGAUUAUGUACAGGAGCAUCUAUUAUAAAGAAGAUACUUGAGAGCAUAGCUAUCGCCAUGCUGCGCCUUCGAUCGUGGAUCACCAGGUGAUCAUUUGCAGAAUUUAAUCACCAUGGCCGUUGGCUGUACCAAUGCCGUGAUGCAAAUGUUUACGCGCUGCUCUUCUUGCCGUCAAUUGCAAUGCCAGAGAAAGCACCUAUAGGCUUGGCCAGGGUACGCCUCUGAGCCUUCACUGACAGUGGGCUGUCCUUGGCCUAUUCAUGAAGCAACAAAACCAGUUAGAAUCAGAUACCUAAGACUCCUAGUCAACUUGCUAGAGAUUUACAUGACAUCAUAACCACAUUAAUUGAAGAAAACAGUAUGAAAUGGUCUGAGCUAUUACCGCAAGGCACGUUCCCUGCUUGGUGUUGCAGAUGGGAUAGUUAUGAGGGCAGCAGCUGUAGUGAUCAUCGCAGCAGGUAGCACCCUCAAGUGGGCAACAGCCCCAGGCGAAGCACUCCUUGCCGUACUCGUAGAUGCAGCAGCAGGUCGUGCUCGCAGGGCACUCGUUGUAGCUGUCACAGACGGAAGACGGUGGGGCGGGAGACGGUGGAGUUGGGCCGGGGUUAGGGGGGUUCUCGCCCGUCUUCGUCGGGUAGGAAGGCUCGACAGCAAUACCACAUUUGCCACUGGAUGCCUUGAUGUUACGCUCCAUCCGGAUGUAACCAUCCUCUCCCCAGACGCUACCCCAGGAGUUCCUGACGAGCCAGUAGUCCUUGCCAUUCUCUGUACCAUAACCAACGGCGGCGACACCAUGGUCAAGUGCUGUUCCACAGGUUCCCGUGAAGAUACCCUAAGAAAAUAGGAAGUGAUAAUCAGUAUAAAUCAAAUGCUUCCGAAAGGUCGAACUCAUCGAUUUCAAAAAUGCUAGUUACACAUCGUUGAGGAAUUUACUAAUUGACAACAGUUUUAUCUGAAGAUGCUAUUUGAGUUGUUUUUUUGUAGUCUGGAUUUCCUCUUUUACUGUUUGAUCAAAUGAGUAGCGAAAAGGGUUUAAACAUCUUCAGAACCUGAUGUUCUACUUUAUUGAUUUCCAGCAGAAGUGGGUGAUAGCUCAGACCACUUAAUCCAAUAUGUUAUAGAUGUGAACACAUAAAAGUGACCCGUGCACUAAAAGUGCUUCCUAAAGCAGGGACAGAUGGGCAUGAUGAGCGCAUAGAAACGAUACUCUUGAAGAUUAGAAAAGGUGCAAAUUAUAUGGAUGAUGUCAAAGCAUGCAAGAGUCAGGCUGCGUCCAAGUUAACCAUAAUUGAGCGGUGGUAGUUGCAGAUUGCAACUGAGGUGAGGACAACAACAAAAUUAUUUUAGUGAAGGAGACGAUGAUAGAAGUUAGGUGCGUGGGCCAAACAGAGUAACAUAUUCAUACCAUUAAGAGAAAAUGUUCCCAAGCUCUCUCAAUCAGAAUGAUACCUAUCUAUUUUGGAAAUAAGGAGGUUCCAAUAACCUUUUGGUGCCUACUCAUUUGAUCAACCUACCGCAGAACAGUGAUGUUAAAGAAGCUCACCGAUUUGUAGAGCUGGAAUGCCCUGCCACCAGCCUCGAUCGCAACACUGAUGGGCUGGUUUGCAACUGCCUUUUGCAGACUCUUCUCACUGUUCACAGGCACAUCCUCGUACCCAUCAAUGGUAACAACCUUGGCAUUUUUCUGCAAAUUUCCCCCAAACACAAAUGGAACAGCAAAUCAAUAUGAUGCACACUCUUAAUAUUCAGAAGGGAAUUAAGAAGACGGAUGAUACCUUGUUAGCAUCGCAACGGUUGUCCCUCUCCUUGUAGGGGUAGUCCUCCUCAGAGUCAAUACCACCAUUGUUAAUGAUGAACUCAAAUGCAUAGUCCAUCAGACCUCCAUUGCAUCCCUGGUUGUAUGAAGUGUCACAGUCAACAAGCUCUUGCUCGGACAGAGGGAUCAUGUCGCCUGUGACAAUCUGGUUGAUGCCUUCGACAGCUGCUAUUGCUGAGAAAGCCCAGCAGCUCCCUGUAAAAGACAAACAAAUGUCAGAUUCCAGUAUCUUUGUGUAACGAUUUUAGUUGUAGAUCAAUGCACUGAUACAAGUGGCAAGUAGUAACAGAGCAACAAUACAUAGUGGUACAAAUUUCUUGAAAUUGCAGAUGAAGACAUGCUACCAAUCAGACGGCGAAACGUUCAAAGAGUCGUGAGGGAGAUGUGUACCCAAGGGCAUAAUGGACUUAUGUCAAAUAAUAGCAGAGGUGGAUGGUGAGACCACAUCCAACAAAUAACAGGACAAAUGGGUCCGCCAGCUUAUCAACUAGACAACGACCGCCACUACUUUGUAAUUUUCCUCCAUUGCAUACUCCAACAGCCUAAUGGAAUCAUGUGAAAUAAUAUCAGUACUAACUUAAUGUCCAUGUUCAAUGAACCUACUUCCAAAAUACGGAGUACUACGUAUAUCCAAACUCAUGAAGAUGAUGCUAACAGAGCUGUACUGACCUUCCAUAUUAGUAAAUCAUUCAGUACUACCACUGAAUCUAGCAAGUGAUACCAGAAGCUCUGACAGAAGCACAUACCGAAAAUAAGGUGUCCCAAUUGCUGAAACCUGAAUGACACUAUAACAUACUGCUACUAGAGACCAAUUAACACAUCCUACCAAAAUAAAUUUAAAUUUAAGAAAUUUUUAUUUUACUUCUGUGUGAAAUUAUACGCCGGCCUAAGAAUCGCAGAUCCCCUUUUCACUGUUCAAAUCGUUUAGGUGAAGCCUCUCAACAGCACCAAUUAUUGCACGUUCCCCUGCUUUCUGUUCAUGUGUAUACUAAACCAUGGCACGUUGACUAACAAAGUUCCCAAUUUACGCAACAGAUUGGAAUAUACUAGUCGCAAGAAUCUUCACUUAAAACCGUUAGUAUCCACCGAUAAUACUGCAAAAAGGAAACAAAAUAGAAGCAGCAGCAGCAGCAGAUGAGUCGAGGAUGCUUUGCUUACCACAGCCGCCCUGGUCCUUGACGGCACCAACUGCGCCCUUCUUCCUCCAGUCGACGGACUCGGGCAGCUCGUCGUUGUCGGCGGCCUGGUACCUGGCGCUGAGCUUCCGCUCCCGGUCGGGCUUAGUGCGGGCGCCGAGGUAGGUGCUGCGGUACUCCUCGUUGGUGAGGUCGGCGAAGCGGUUGAGGCCGAGGCGGAAGGAGUGGACCCCGGCGUCGGCGGCGGCGUUGUGCUGGUCGAUGUAGCGGAGGUUGUCCCGGAACGCCUCGAAGCGGCGCUCCUCCUCGCCGAUGGCGUUGUACGUACUGCCGUGCUCCGCCAUCCACUCGGCGUACAUCCGCCGGACCUCCUCCUCGCUCCGCUCCCCGUAGGACACGAUCGACAUGUCCGCCGCCGCCGCCAGCGACACCAUCAGCAGCAGCGCCGCCGAGGCCGCCAGCAGAGCCAUGGAGGUCCUCAUCCCCGAGACCAGAGGUGCGUCACCGAGCAGGAAGAGAGGGGUAGCAGAUGGGAUGGAUUGGGUAGCAGCCGUGCUUUUCUUCUCCAUGGACGAUGGUAUCGGAGGUCGCUUUAUAGGAA
rnacentral:lncRNA from 1 species